UGCGGGGUCGUCUAACGGUAGGACAUCGCCCUUUGGAGGCGAGUAUCGGGGUCCGAAUCCCUGCCCCGCAGCAA
rnacentral:tRNA from 5 species